CGAUUACCUUUUCACAACUGCUCCCCCCACCCCGCCCUUUCUAUUUUUUAGAUGCAGAGAUUCAGAGAGUCUAAGCAACUUUUCCAAAUCAUCUAGCUGGAAUUCCGGUAACUGAGCCAGGAUCUACCCCAGGUCUGUCUGACUCCAAAGCCUGUGUCUUCCAGCACACACUGCUGCUGCCUGGGGUGUCUGGAAUGCAGAUGUGAUGUCUGGAACUCUAGCAGCUCUCUUGUAUCCUGAGAGGACUUUGGGUCUGGAAGCCACAUGCUAAGCUGGUGGGACAGCAUGAUGGAAGCAGUCUGGGUCCUGAACUUUCACAUGUGUCUUCUAUGUGGUCUUCAUGAGAUUCCUGAUGAUUCUUUCUGUUGACUUCUUGGCUUGUGUCCUUUGAUGAAACCAGCAGGAGGCUGUGUGGCAAGAAACUGAAGGUGACUUUCAGCCAAAAAUCAGUGAGGAACCGGGGCCCCCAGUCAGCAGCCACAUGGAACUGAACACUGCCAACAGCCACUGAGUGAGUAGACCCU